CUACGGAGGGUGCAAGCGUUAAUCGGAAUUACUGGGCGUAAAGCGUGCGUAGGUGGUUUGUUAAGUCAGAUGUGAAAGCCCCGGGCUCAACCUGGGAACUGCAUUUGAAACUGGCAUACUAGAGUAUAGGAGAGGAAAGUGGAAUUUCAGGUAUAGCGGUGAAAUGCGUAGAUAUCUGAAGGAACAUCAAUGGCGAAGGCAGCUUUCUGGACUAAUACUGACACUGAGGUACGAAAGCGUGGGUAGCAAACAGGAUUAGAAACCCUGGUAGUCC
rnacentral:rRNA from 1 species